rnacentral:rRNA from 1 species
CGAGAGUUUGUAACACCCGAAGUCGGUAGGGUAACCAUUUAUGGAGCCAGCCGCCGAAGGUGGGACAGAUAAUUGGGGUGAAGUCGUAACAAGGUAGCCGUAUCGGAAGGUGCGGCUGGAUCACCUCCUUUCUAAGGAA